UGGGGAAUCUUGCACAAUGGGGGCAACCCUGAUGCAGCGACGCCGCGUGAGCGAUGAAGCCCUUCGGGGCGUAAAGCUCUUUCGACCGGAACGAUAAUGACGGUACCGGGAGAAGAAGCUGCGGCUAACUACGUGCCAGCAGCCGCGGUAAUACGUAGGCAGCAAGCGUUGUUCGGAGUUACUGGGCGUAACGAGUGCGUAGGCGGUUUUCUAAGUUCGGUGUGAAAUCUCCCGGCUUAACUGGGAGGGUGCGCCGAAGACUGGGAAGCUGGAGUGUUGGAAAGGCUGGCGGAAUUCCUGGUGUAGCGGGGAAAUGCGUAGAUAUCAGGAGGAACACCGGCGGUGUAGACGGCUUGCUAGACCAUAACUGACGCUGAGGCACGAAAGCGUGGGUAGCAAACA
rnacentral:rRNA from 1 species